GACGAACGUUGGCGGCGUGCUUAAUACAUGCAAGUCAACUGAAGCAGUGGUAGCAAUAUCGCUGUGGAGGUGGCGCACGGGUGAGUAACACGUAGGUAAUCUGCCUUCAGGUCUGGCAUAACUCCGGGAAACCGGGGCUAAUAGCAGAUGAUGCAGCGGCUCGACAUCGAGACAGUUGUUAAAGCUAUGGCGCCUGAAGAUGAGCCUGCGUCUGAUUAGCUAGUUGGCGGGGUAACGGCCCACCAAGGCAACGAUCAGUAGCUGGUCUGAGAGGAUGAUCAGCCACACUGGAACUGAGACACGGUCCAGACUCCUACGGGAGGCAGCAGUAAGGAAUAUUGCUCAAUGGGAGAAAUCCUGAAGCAGCAACGCCGCGUGAGGGACGAAGGGCUUUUGCUUGUAAACCUCUGUAGUGAGAGAAAAAAAUCCCAAUCUAGGGGACAUGAUGGUAUCUCAAAAGUAAGCCCCGGCUAACUACGUG
rnacentral:rRNA from 1 species